CACGUAGGGGGCGAGCGUUGUCCGGAAUCAUUGGGCGUAAAGGGCGCGUAGGCGGCCACGCAAGUCGGAUGUGAAAUCCCUCGGCUCAACCGAGGAACUGCAUCCGAAACUGCGAGGCUCGAGUCCUGGAGAGGGUAGUGGAAUUCCCAGUGUAGCGGUGAAAUGCGUAGAUACUGGGAGGAACACCGGUGGCGAAGGCGGCUACCUGGACAGGUACUGACGCUGAUGCGCGAAAGCCAGGGGAGCAAACAGG
rnacentral:rRNA from 1 species